AUGGCCUGACUGCGGGCCGGCGAACAUGCGGCUGGCGCUGCUCAUGUUCGACGUCGUGUUCCUCUUCUUCCUCUUCCUGGUGGGGGUGUCGUGCCUGGUGUACUACCUGCCGCCGCAGCCACCCCGCACCCCCAGCUACCUGAUCGUGGCGGCCGACCCCCGACCACCUGGCCCGCCGACGCACCACCCUGACGCCGCUGCCGCCGCACCUGUUGAGGACGUCUGAACUGAGGCAGCCGGCCUGUGAUACCGCGAGAAAAGACACAAGAAGCAGAAUCGCCACGCUCGCCCCCCAGAAAACUUGCCCUGACGGGUCGGUCCAUCCCCCUAAAAUUCGCAACCCCUUUAAAGCAGCGCCGGGGAACCGACCCGAAUGGCGUGAAGAAGAGCGAGUGUGGCCGGAGCAGGGCAAAACUGCAACAAUCGAACGUCAGUGGGCGUGUUUGUUUGUGUCUUGUGCUGCCGACGGACGGACAGAGCCGCCGCCCUGGCCGGGGGCCGCCGGAAUGCCGCCUCCUGCUCCUCCGGAAUUCCUUGCGAAGAAGAAGCAGCGAGCAAAUAUUUUGUGUACGCCAGACCAGACCACACCACCGAGCGAGCGAAAGAGAAAGAGACUCUGAAACACUCACUCACACUCACACACGCAUAGCCUGUACACACGCGAGACAAUACAUUUUCAGUUUAAAGCAA